GGCGGGGGCGGUGGUGGUGGAGGGGGCUGUGGUGGCGGAGGCGGUGGUGGAGGGGGCUGUGGAGGAGGCGGCGGCGGCGGAUGCUAGAGUUCAUCGCAUCCGUUGCACCAGCGGCAUCAGUUGUGCUGGUCUGCAGAAGCUAAGGUGCCAGAAGAUGUAUCAAUGGAUAUUUUUUUACUUGUCAAUUGUCAUGCAUGGCAUAUAUGGUAAGGAAGGACUGUCCGUAUUAUGGAUAUCCUUAUUAGUUUUUGUUUGUUGUCAUGUCUCUGCUGCUAUUAGCAUGGUGUAUAUAAUAAUAAAUUAUGUCGUCUUUGAAUUCGUACUCUUAUCUGUACACAAGCUUUUCAAUUGAUGGCUCUCUAUGUUUGCAGACCUUACGCGUUAAAUUUGAUUUCUUUUUCCAAAUAUAAAUAUAUCAUUAAUUUUAAGGUUGUA
rnacentral:misc_RNA from 1 species